rnacentral:lncRNA from 1 species
AAGAACAUCUUCGUACAGGAGAUAAAGCUGUUUGCCGUUUUCGUUUCAUUAAGGGGCCAGAGUUUAUACAGAAAGGUACGAAAAUGAUUUUCAGAGAAGGUCGCACAAAAGCCGUUGGAACAAUAACAAAUUUAUACGGAGAUAUCGAAGGAAAAGCAUCACAUAACACUCGUAUGAGUAAGCAAACUAAAGCUCUCAUGCAUCAUCGAGCUCAAACUGUAAAUAGAAGAACUAUUUAUAACAAACCGAAUUUAAACAUUGAGAAAAGUGAUAGUUGAUUGCAAACUAUUGAGUUUUUUCCAGACAAACUGUUUUAAUUAAUGCACUUUUGAAGACUUUGGUAGUGUUUGAUAUUCCGAUAAAAUUUUAUAAUAAUUUAUAACAUAAAUAUGGAUAAGUGUGUUACGCGGAUUUUUAUACUUGUCAAUACAAAUGCAAUGCUUUAUUAUAUCAGGUAUCGCAUUUGCGUUACACGAUAUUUAUGGCGUUAUAUGAAAGGUUUUGAGUGAAAACAUGUCCGAGUAAAAUAUAUUGACUUUUGCGUAACUUUGACAA